ensembl:snRNA U6 U6 spliceosomal RNA
AUGCUAACUUCAGCAGCACAUAUACUAAAAUUGGAAUGGUACAGAGAAGAUGAGCAUGGCCCUUCCACAAAGAUAACACAGAUUCGUGAAGUGUUCCAAUUUUGC